GAUGAACGCUAGCGGCAGGCUUAACACAUGCAAGUCGAGGGGCAGCAUGACACGGAGAUUCGUCGAAGUGUUGAUGGCGACCGGCGCAAGGGUGCGUAACGCGUGAGCAACUUGCCCCGUUUCUGGGGGAAUAACCGGUGGAAACGCCGACUAAUACCCCAUAGCAUUGAUUUCAGGCAUCUGUUAUCAAUUAAAGAAUUUCGGAAACGGAUAGGCUCGCGUGACAUUAGCUAGAUGGCGGGGUAACGGCCCACCAUGGCGACGAUGUCUAGGGGUUCUGAGAGGAAGGUCCCCCCANACUGGAACUGAGACACGGUCCAGACUCCUACGGGAGGCAGCAGUGAGGAAUAUUGCACAAUGGGGGAAACCCUGAUGCAGCGACGCCGCGUGAGUGAAGAAGUACUUUCGGGUACGUAAAGCUCUAUCAGCAAGG
rnacentral:rRNA from 1 species